rnacentral:rRNA from 1 species
CUGACUGCUAUCGGAUUGGUACUAAGCCAUGUGAGUCGUUGUAGCAAUACAAGGCAUACGGCUCAGUAACACGUAGUCAAUCUAACCUAUGGACGGGGAUAACCUCGGGAAACUGAGGAUAAACCCCGAUAGAUCAUAAUGCCUGGAACGGUUUAUGGUUCAAAUGAUUCGUCGCCGUAGGGUGGGACUGCGGCCUAUCAGCUUGUUGGUGAGGUAAUGGCCCACCAAGGCUAUUACAGGUACGGGCUCUGAGAGGAGUAGCCCGGAGAUGGGUACUGAGACACGGACCCAGGCCCUAUGGGGCGCAGCAGGCGAGAAACCUUUGCAAUGUGCGCAAGCACGACAAGGUUAAUCCGAGUGAUUCCUGCUUAAGGAAUCUUUUGUUAGUCGUAAAACCACUAUUGAAUAAGGGGUGGGCAAGUUCUGGUGUCAGCCGCCGCGGUAAAACCAGCACCUCAAGUGGUCAGGAUGAUUAUUGGGCCUAAAGCAUCCGUAGCCUGUUCUGUAAGUUUCCGGUUAAAUCCAUUAACUCAACUAAUGGGCUGCCGAAAAUACUGCAGAACUAGGGAGUGGGAGAGGUAGACGGUACUCGGUAGGAAGGGGUAAAAUCCUUUGAUCUAUUGAUGACCACCUGUGGCGAAGGCGGUCUACCAGAACACGUUCGACGGUGAGGGAUGAAAGCUGGGGGAGCAAACCGGAUUAGAUACCCGGGUAGUCCCAGCUGUAAACGAUGCAAACUCGGUGAUGCCCUGGCUUGUGGCCAGUGCAGUGCCGCAGGGAAGCCGUUAAGUUUGCCGCCUGGGAAGUACGUACGCAAGUAUGAAACUUAAAGGAAUUGGCGGGGGAGCACCACAAGGGGUGAAGCCUGCGGUUC